CGUUUUCUUCCAGCCGCGCGUUUCCUCUUCUUCCAGCCGCAAUUCACAACCGACGUACACUCUAAUCUGUUUGUACGAUCUUCGUUGUUAGGUUCGAUCGUCGCUGCCGCCGUUUUUGUUGUGUUGGAAGUGACAUUGGGUCCCUCGUGUUCAUAACCGAAAUUGUGAAUUUUGGAGUUUGGCUCGCCAAUACUUCGUAUCUUUCGUGGGAUAUAGUUUGUUUAAGAAAUUGAGCAACCUUGAGGUAAGGG